rnacentral:rRNA from 1 species
CAGCCGUAAACUAUGCUCGCUAGGUGUCAGGCAUGGCGCGACCGUGUCUGGUGCCGCAGGGAAGCCGUGAAGCGAGCCACCUGGGAAGUACGGCCGCAAGGCUGAACUUAAGGAUUGGCGGGGGAGCACAACAACGGGUGGAGCCUGCGGUUUAAUUGGACUCAACGCCGGACAACUCACCGGGGACGACAGCAAUAUGUAGGCCAGGCUGAAGACCUUGCCUGAAUCGCUGAGAGGAGGUGCAUGGCGUAGACGUCU